AUGUCGCUUUCUAUACAUAACGCUUCUCCAGGGAAUAGCCUAUCACGGGCCUGCCCGGCCGCGUGUGGAGCACUCAUCGCUGCUAAGGACCUUCACCUGUUCUGCGUGGUUUGCUUGGGCCUUAAACACGCUCAAGAAGCCUUGGAGAACGUGGAAAAUUGCAGUCAUUGCCUUAUGCUGCCCAAAAAUGUUUUACGACGCCGUCUUAAGGUUGCAGCGAUCCAGUGCUCCGAGCUCGGUUUUACUGACUCAGAUCUGGGACACGGUGACAACGACGCAUUACCGGGUGACUUCCGGGGCGCCUCCUCACUUGUUUGGGCUGACCAGCCCAAUCCCGCAUUCCCCGAAGAGGACAUCUUCGUGGGCAACGUCAUGCUCGCCGACGAACCGGCCGGUUCCGGCGAUGAGGAUGAUGCGGCCCUUCUCAGGGUCUCAGAAGACGAGGAUGUCAUCCCAACCUCUGGUGUUCCCCAGGCUAGCGGCCACGCAGCCCUGCCUCAGUCCAUCCUCCUAGAAGUGUGUGAGCGAGUGGCCACUCGCCUCAACAUUGAGUGGCCAGCUCCACAGAGCGUCACCGACCAGGAGAGGGAUAUUUACGACGGAAAAGUGUUGGGAUCUCCUCCCGGUCCAGGGAAACAACUCUUCCCCGUCCUUCCAGCGUGCGCUAAGCAUAUGAGGCACAACUGGAGCAAACCGCUCGACUUCAAACACGGCCUUUCGGGCCUUGAAGUAAAGGAUAUGGCAGCUCAUGGUAUGGGCGACCCCCCCGCUAUCGAGCCUUCCAUCGCCAGGCACCUUAACCCCGCUCAGGGCGGGCUGCUCGCUCCCCCUAAGCCGGUCUUGCCCAACAAGCUGGACUGUUUUUCUGCCUCAGUUCACCGGGCCGCAUACAAGUCCUCGGCCUUGGCUGUCAGAGCCCUGAACGUCUCGUCUCUCCUCUCCGCUUACCAGGCGGAGAUUUUGGACGAAUUAGGGCAACAGCUAAAAAAGCGAACUCCUUCUCUACACUUGUGGAAGGAGAUCCUCACGGUGAACGACCUCAUCCUUCGUAAUGCUCGGCAGGCCGUCCAAGCCUGCGGGCGCUCUAUGGCGCUUUCUGUGGUGGGAGAGCGCGCGCUCUGGCUUAACCUGUCAGGCCUUCCUGACAGUGAGAAGCGGCGCAUCGCGGGCGCAUCGAUGGAGCCUGACCGGGCUCUCUUCGGCCCCGCCGUCGCAUUGAUGCAACAACAGCGUGACGACAAAAAGAAGGAGGACGAGGCCUUCAAGUUAUGUCUCCCUAGGGGGAAAAAUCGACUCCCGCCGCGGCUGGAGGACCAUCUAACCCUACCCCCAUCGACUCGAAACGUAAGCGGCCUGCCUGAUGUUCGAUUGAUGGGGGCAUCGAGUCCGCGUUCAUGGGCCACGAGCCCUUCGGACUCUCUCCCUGUCCCAGGACCCCCGUUCAAAAGACGCAGGGUCUCCCGCGGAUGGAUCGAUUCCUGUCCGUUCGAGGCUGCUCCGCCCAUGUGUUUAAUGAACGUUGUGUGUUCCCCUCUCACGUUCAGGGGGUCUGUUAUGAGUAAAAAUGCAAAAGCAGUGUCACCACACCGCAUACACUCUGUUCCCCUCACCCAACCAAUAAAGGCUUCGGCCCCAGUGUUUCCCCAACACAAAACACACAGAAAAACAAAAAACACAUUAAAACAAUCAACGAAUCAAAUGAAUUCGUUACGGAGAGAGGAUCUCUCUCCGCAGAGAGAGUCUAUCUCCCCGCGGAGAGAGGAAAUCUGUCUGAACCCCUGCAUGUUGCCCCUGGUGUGUCCACUAGAUGGCGCCAUUGCAUCACAAAUAAACCAGCUGGGCUUACACAGCCCCGCUGCAGCUCGGGUGGGAACACUUGCGAAUCACGAAUGGGCUUGGCAAACUGUUUCGGCUCCCAAGUGGGUGAUGCGUAUUAUAUUGCAGGGAUACAGACUGCAGUUUGCAAUGAAACCCCCUCAUUUCAACGGUGUUCUCUCUUCACACACGGAAGAGAACGCCUCACACAUUCUGAAAGAGGAAAUAUCCUCCCUCCUAAACAAGGGAGCGAUUCAGGUGGUGCCCCCCAUUCUGAUGAAUCAGGGAUUUUAUUCUCGUUAUUUCCUGGUCCCAAAAAAGGACGGCGCUCUCCGCCCUAUUCUGGACCUUCGUGUGUUAAACAAACAUUUGAGGAAAUACAAUUUCAGAAUGCUGACUCAUGGCUCGCUCGCCCGUGCCAUAAAACAGAACGACUGGUUCACAUCGGUCGACCUGAAAGAUGCUUUCUUCCAUAUAAGCAUUUAUCCGCCACACAGGAAGUUUCUUUGUUUCGCCUACCAAGGCACAUGUUACGAAUUCACAGUUCUGCCGUUUGGGCUCAGUCUAAGCCCCCGGUGUUUCUGUCUGUGUGCGGAGGCGGGUUUAGCACCCAUGAGAAUGUCAGGUAUGAGGAUUCUGACAUACAUAGACGAUUGGCUAAUCAUAGCCGAAUCGAAAGAGAAAGUGUUGAAGGACACCUGCCGUGUGCUCACGCACAUCACAUCUCUCGGGUUCAGAGUGAAUGUGAGCAAGAGCAAUUUUACACCCAGUCAGAAUGUCAUUUUCCUGGGUUUGGAGUUGAACUCAGUCUCCAUGCGAGCACGUCUCUCUCAAGAGCGCGUUCUCUCUCUAAUGAACUGUCUGUCGCAGUUCAGAGAGGGGGCGAAAGUACAAUAUCGCACAAUACUCAGGCUGAAGGGUCUUAUGGCUUCAUCAAUCCAGGUUGUACCGCUGGGACUCCUGAGAAUGAGAGCGUUCAUGAAAUGGGUUUUGUUACUACAUUUCAGCGCGAUCUUUGCCGCUCUGUAA
rnacentral:lncRNA from 1 species